rnacentral:tRNA from 1 species
UGUGGCUCAGUGGUAGAGUGCUUGUCUUGUAAAUGUGAAGCCCUGGGUUUGAUCCUCAGCA